GUCCCUAUAGCGUAAUGGAGUAAUGGAUAGCGCGUUGGACUUCUAAUCCAAAGGACAUGGGUUCGGAUCCCACAUGGGAUU